rnacentral:rRNA from 1 species
AACUAACGCUGGCGGCGCGUCUUAAACAUGCAAGUCGAACGGUAUCCAUUGAGCUUGCUUAGUGGAGAGAGUGGCGAACGGGUGAGUAACACGUGAAUAAUCUGCCUCCGGGUUGGGGAUAACAGUUCGAAAGGACUGCUAAUACCGAAUAAGAUGGUAGCUACACAAGUAGUAGUCAUUAAAGGUGGGGACCGCAAGGCCUACCACCUGGAGAUGAGUUCGCGGCUGAUUAGCUUGUUGGCGGGGUAAUGGCCCACCAAGGCGACGAUCAGUAGCCGGCCUGAGAGGGUGAACGGCCACAUUGGGACUGAGAUACGGCCCAGACUCCUACGGGAGGCAG